rnacentral:misc_RNA from 1 species
AAGUCGUAACAAGGUUUCCGUAGGUGAACCUGCGGAAGGAUCAUUAACAAUUCCAUUCUAAAUCAACCUUUGUGAACCGACCUCUAGCUGGGUUGAGACUCUGGUCUCUUAAAAGUCCUGCCGAGGGAAAGUGUCAACAGCGAGUCCUUGUGGCUAACUGUCGACACUUACAUAGACUAUUUUGUAUGACUAAAAAGUAUUAUUUUAAACAAAUACAACUUUUAACAGUGGAUCUCUUGGCUCCU